rnacentral:rRNA from 1 species
AGUGAACGCUGGCGGUAGGCCUAACACAUGCAAGUCGAACGGCAGCACAGUAAGAGCUUGCUCUUACGGGUGGCGAGUGGCGGACGGGUGAGGAAUACAUCGGAAUCUACUUUUUCGUGGGGGAUAACGUAGGGAAACUUACGCUAAUACCGCAUACGACCUACGGGUGAAAGCAGGGGAUCUUCGGACCUUGCGCGAUUGAAUGAGCCGAUGUCGGAUUAGCUAGUUGGCGGGGUAAAGGCCCACCAAGGCGACGAUCCGUAGCUGGUCUGAGAGGAUGAUCAGCCACACUGGAACUGAGACACGGUCCAGACUCCUACGGGAGGCAGCAGUGGGGAAUAUUCGACAAUGGGCGCAAGCCUGACCCAGCCAUACCGCGUGAGUGAAGAAGGCCUUCGGGUUGUAAAGCCCUUUUGUUGGGAAAGAAAAGCAGCAGGUUAAUACCCCGCUGUUCUGACGGUACCCAAAGAAUAAGCACCGGCUAACUUCGUG